UACAGAGGGUGCGAGCGUUGUCCGGAAUCACUGGGCGUAAAGGGCGCGUAGGUGGCGCGACAAGUCAGUGGUGAAAGUUCGACGCUCAACGUCGAAUCGGCCACUGAUGACUGUUGGGCUUGAGCACUGUAGAGGCUAAUGGAAUUCCGGGUGUAGCGGUGGAAUGCGUAGAGAUCCGGAAGAACACCGGUGGCGAAGGCGGUUAGCUGGGCAGUUGCUGACGACUGAGGCGCGACAGCGUGGGAGCAAACAGGGAU
rnacentral:rRNA from 1 species